rnacentral:rRNA from 1 species
GUGGGGAAUAUUGCACAAUGGGCGAAAGCCUGAUGCAGCAACGCCGCGUGAGGACGACGGCCUUCGGGUUGUAAACCUCUUUUAGUAGGGAAGAAGCGAAAGUGACGGUACCUGCAGAAAAAGCACCGGCUAACUACGUGCCAGCAGCCGCGGUAAUACGUAGGGUGCAAGCGUUAUCCGGAAUUAUUGGGCGUAAAGAGCUCGUAGGCGGUCUGUCGCGUCUGCUGUGAAAACUGGAGGCUCAACCUCCAGCCUGCAGUGGGUACGGGCAGACUAGAGUGCGGUAGGGGAGAUUGGAAUUCCUGGUGUAGCGGUGGAAUGCGCAGAUAUCAGGAGGAACACCGAUGGCGAAGGCAGAUCUCUGGGCCGUAACUGACGCUGAGGAGCGAAAGCGUGGGGAGCGAACAGGAUUAGAUACCCGAGUAGUCC